rnacentral:lncRNA from 1 species
AAAUGAGCUUCCGUCCUGGAGAGUCAUUGGCAACAGACUUGGGACCAGCACUGGGACUUCUGUAGGAGACACAGCCCUAGUGACUCAAACACUUUGGGAAAUAGGCCAAAAUUAAGAGAGGAUCAUUAAUAAAACAGUGUCAAACAGGGCAGGACGGGCAAUCAGAUGGCAGGGAGCAUGGACAGAAAAGGGAUCCUGAGCACAGUUUGCAAAUUGUGGAGGGGAAAGUCAAACAUCAUUCUGCAUCCAACCCAGUGGAGUAUGCAGGAAAACCACAUUCCUGUCUCUAGACCCAUCAGUGUUCAACAGGCCAUACUUUUCCUCCUGAAUCCUUAUUGUCCACUGAGAUUCUUGCUUUGGAACCUGUGCCUGCAAGAUUGGAGGCUCUCGGUCUAUCUACACAGGGAAGCUAGCUGAACUGAAUUGAUUCAAAAUAAAAAUGAUUGCAUUCAAUAAAAUUUGGCCA